CACGUAGGGGGCGAGCGUUGUCCGGAUUUAUUGGGCGUAAAGAGCUCGUAGGCGGCUCGGUAAGUGAGGUGUGAAAACUCCAGGCUCAACCUGGAGACGCCACCUCAUACUGCCGUGGCUAGAGUCCGGUAGGGGAGCGUGGAAUUCCUGGUGUAGCGGUGAAAUGCGCAGAUAUCAGGAGGAACACCAGCGGCGAAGGCGGCGCUCUGGGCUGGAACUGACGCUGAGGAGCGAAAGCGUGGGAGCAAACAGG
rnacentral:rRNA from 1 species